AGAAAAACAAAGAGUUGUCGAAGAAAAGGUAAAAAAUAAAGAAGGCUUUUCUAUUGGCCAAUACAUGAAUCACGAGGAUUGCAAUUCAAACCCUUAGAUUAGUUUAAUCUAACGACCACAAUUCAUUUGUGCCUCUCACUCUCUCUCUCUCUCUCUCUUCCCCUUCGAGUCUUCUCUGUUUAAUCUUCUCUUCUUUUUUUUUUUAAAGUUUGGAUAUUGAGUUUGAUUUAGCAAUCCCCCUUCGACUUGGACUCUGGUGCCUUCAACUUCGCCUCUGGUGCCUUCAACACCGCCUCGGGUGCCUUCAAUUCCAGACUCUGCUGCUGCAUUUAAACAAAGUAACGAGACUGUUGGGAUAAGUGGGGAGAGCUUUCUCAGAGAUGAAAAUGGCAACGAAGCUCAAGCACCACCGUCUUCAAUGCCAACCUGUUGCGAUGCUCCUCUGCCUGAUGACGAAGCCCAGAUACGAGCCGUUUUUGAUUGGGCCGAGAUGAAGCUCUCCGAAUCCGCCGGUCAAGACUCUAACUCCACCGCGUCUCUGAAGAAGAGGAGAGAGGAUGAAAUAGAAGAGGAGAGAAGAUGAA